ACCUCUCGCCCCAGCUGAAGCCCUGCUCCGCCCUUCCAUCUUAACCACCUCUCCAGAGCACAUUCACUCGUUCAUUGUAGUGGCACCUGCAGGAUGGCGCCGGAGGGAAGCGGAAGUGGGCCAGCCUUCCACCCAUCCGGCUUCCGGCUGCCGGGGCCUCACAACAAUUCCAGCGCAAACCGCAAGCCGUAUUAACCUAUUUCUGCACACAUAAUUAGUCAGAGACUGAUAGAACCAUCUACCGCGUGUUUACAUAAAGGUAAGUGUAGUCCUCAAGCCUCAUCAAGAAAACUCUUUGCAAGAGAUGGAGACCACCACAGAAAACCAAAACCAGUCAAGAUGCGGAGUGGUGAAGUCCAGGCCUAAUGGAUACAUCUAUAAAAUACUCUUGGAUCUGAGCCUCAGGAAACAUGGAAGAAGGAUGGUCAGAGCUGUGAGAUCAUGGAGUUUACUGUGAGAUCCUGUGUCCGAGUAAUAUCAAAAGUUAUAAAGUCUCACCAAAAUGGCUUGCAAAACAUGAGCUGACCAAGGACACCAACAACAGACCCACGAAGCCUCAACUUUAGACAAAGAGCUACAGGCUAAGGAAUGCUGUGAGUGGGAGAAACAGUCUUCGCUGGGGCAAAGAGCACAUGAAUUAGUUGUCAAAUACCAAAUGAUCAGCCCCAAGAACAUACAUACAAGUGCCAUUAUACAGAUGUGUAAAUACAUGUAAAGAUCCUCAUAUAACAACAAUUAAUGAAAAAGGCCAGGAACUUAAAGGAGAGCAGGGGAAGGAUGUGGGGGAGUUUGGAGGAAAGAAAGGGAAGGGGGAAAGGAUUUAAUUGUAUUAUAAUCUCAGACAUGAAAUCAGUAAUUAAGAAACAUGAAAAGGGAUGGCUGGUUAAAUGCAUGGUCUGGCUGCCGAUGAAGGUUGAUUCUAAUUGGUGCAAGUGUCCCUGACUGACACUAAGUGAGAGCGACAGACGUCCUUCUGUCUCUGGGCCAUCUGGGGACAGCUUCCUAGAGCAUAGAAGAGAGCAUAUGCGUCACACAAGGGACUCUUGUCCAUCUCUGCAUACUCCUAUUUCUCCAGCAUUUAGCAGAAUAUUGAGAGAAUAGUGACUUAAGGAAGUUGGCUGUUUGGACCAAAGAGAACUAAGGACAACAUGGAUGUCGGAAUGCAUACAAAUCUGUGAUGGGGAGCAUUGGAGCCGACAGUGCUGGUUCUCGGUGUAUUUCCCUUCAGUGUUCAACGUUUCUGCAAACAGUAGUUUGUGGUAAGCGCCUGCUAGGGGCUUUGUCUGGCCAGAGGACACUCAUUUCCAGAGGACAGAAGCCAAAGGGUUUCUUCAAUAAGUGAACAGUGUGAGUGUAUGAAGACCUCCAUGUAGAAAAGCAUUGCGGUUCCACAAAGAUUUAAAAACAGAAUUAUCAUAUAGUAAUUCAUUCUACUGGACCACAGUCCAUCUCUGAAGGAAGUCAGGGCAGGGAAUGCAAGGCAGUAGCUGCAGGAGCUGAUGCAGAGGCUGUGGAGAAGUGCUGCUCACUAGCUCUCUCCUGAGGUAUGGCUCAGCCUGCUUUCACACAGACAGACAGACAUAUACAUAUACAUAUACAUAUACAUAUACAUAUACAUAUACAUAUACAUAUACAUAUACAUAUACAUAUACAUAUACAUAUACAUAUACAUAUACAUAUACAUAUGAAAUCCCAUGGACAUUUUCUCAGUUCAGAUCCCCUCUUCCCACAUAUGUCUAGGCUUGUGUUCAGUUGACAAAAACCAACAUAGAUAUGUCCUAUUUCUGAGGCAUAGCCAUGAGAAAUUCUCAGAGGGCACGGAAGUUACAAUUAUCAUAUUUAGCAAAUACAGAACCCCCAGCGAAAUUCAAAUUUCAGGUGAACGAUAAGUGUUUCCUAUUUUAUCCCACCUCCCCUCCCCCAGAGAGGAAAAGAAACUGUUUGUAAUACGUGUCUAUUUGAUAAAGAUUUAUAUAUACACUAUUCAAAGGAUUCUUAAAACUUAGAUGUACGAAAACAAUCAGAUUAAAAAUGUACUCGAGAUCGGAACAGACGCCUCACCAAAGGAGAUAAAUGAGCAUAUUUAAAUGUGCUUCGGUCUCUCCUCACCAGGGAGAUUCAAACUCAAAGGACAAAGGGACACCACAACACACCUAUGGGAAUGGCCGAAUCCACAAUUCCUGGCUGCAGCUAAUGCUGGUAGGCUGUGGAGCAAGAACAGGAAUGGCUGCUCGCUGCUGGCGAGAAUGCCCAGUGCACGGCAUCCUGAAAGACAAUUUGACUACUCUUUGCAAAACCAAACAUGUUCUUUCCAUACAACUGGGCAGCGAGCAUCCACCCUCACUCGUGACUGUUUAACUGGGUAGUGGAAUAAACUGUGGUGUGUGCAGACAAUGGAAUGAUAUUAUUUUCUUAAAGGAGCUCGAUAGUAGUAUUUAUGUGUUUGCUUAUCAGUGGUGGGGAUUGAACCCAGGGCUUGCACAUCACAGAGUGCCUAGGUCGUGAAACAGGAUUCCUCCAAGUGAAACCUCGCCUAGUCAUCCCACAAAGGAAUAUCAGCUGAGAACCUGUCUUGCCUUAAGCAAAGAACUUCUGGAAGGAGAGACUUCGGGAGAGAAACUUGAACAAUUCCCUCACUUCUAAGCCCUCCACUCCACCCCUAAAAAAGGGUCACAGUCAGCUUUUCCCCUUAGCAGACCCCUCAAUUUCCCACGGGAGAAAGGCUGACCCUUGCUUGUUAUGUGUGCUAAUAAACACAGUCCCAUCUGUU